UACAGAGGGUGCGAGCGUUGUUCGGAAUUAUUGGGCGUAAAGGGCGCGUAGGCGGUGCCACAAGUCACUUGUGAAAUCCCCGGGCUUAACUCGGGGCCUGCAGGCGAAACUGUGGUGCUGGAGUAUGGGAGAGGUGCGUGGAAUUCCCGGUGUAGCGGUGAAAUGCGUUGAGAUCGGACGGAACGCCAACGGCGAAAGCAAGGUCCUGGACUCGUACUGAACGCUGAGGCGCGAAAGCCAGGGGAGCGAACGGGG
rnacentral:rRNA from 1 species